GGAUCAUUACAGAGUUCUCGCAACUCCCAAAACCCUGGCGAACUUACUGCGCGUUGCCUCGGCGGCUCACCCCGCCGGCGGCCCGCGCGACAACACCUGAAUUCUUAGUUACAGUUGACAGGUUGAGAACUCAGCCGAAUACGUUAAAACUUUCAACAACGGAUCUCUUGGUUCUGGCAUCGAUGAAGAACGCAGCGAAAUGCGAUACGUAAUGUGAAUUGCAGAAUUCAGUGAAUCAUCGAAUCUUUGAACGCACAUUGCGCCCACCGGUAUUCCGGUGGGCAUGCCUGUUCGAGCGUCAUUUCAACCCCUUAAGCCUCUGCUGCUUAGCGUUGGGAGCCUACCGGUGCGGUAGCUCCCCAAAGUGAGUGGCGGGGCCGGCUCGUGCUCUGGGUGUAGUAGAUCUCCAUCUCGCCCGCGGCCGGUGCCGGUCUCCUGCCGUAAAACGCCCCAAUUUUUCAGGUUGACCUCGGAUCAGGUAGGAAUACCCGCUGAACUUAAGCAUAUCAAUAAGCGGAGGAAAAGAAACCAACAGGGAUUGCCUCAGUAACGGCGAGUGAAGCGGCAACAGCUCAAAUUUGAAAUCUGGCCCUCGGGUCCGAGUUGUACUUUGUAGAGGAUGCUUUUGGCGCGGUGCUUUCCGAGUUCCCUGGAACGGGACGCCUUAGAGGGUGAGAGCCCCGUACGGUUGGCGGCCAAGCCUCUGUAAAGCUCCUUCGACGAGUCGAGUAGUUUGGGAAUGCUGCUCUAAAUGGGAGGUAAAUUUCUUCUAAAGCUAAAUACCGGCCAGAGACCGAUAGCGCACAAGUAGAGUGAUCGAAAGAUGAAAAGCACUUUGAAAAGAGGGUUAAAUAGCACGUGAAAUUGUUGAAAGGGAAGCGUUUGCGACCAGACCUUUUCCUGGCGGAUCAUCCGGCGUUCUCGCCGGUGCACUUCGCCAGGUCGAGGCCAGCAUCGGUUCCGGCAGGGGGACAAAAGCCUGGGGAACGUAGCUCCUCCGGGAGUGUUAUAGCCCCUCGCAUAAUACCCUUGCGGGGACCGAGGACCGCG
rnacentral:rRNA from 1 species